rnacentral:rRNA from 1 species
AUUGAACGCUGGCGGCAGGCCUAACACAUGCAAGUCGAACGAGUGGCGGACGGGUGAGUAAUGUCUGGGAAACUGCCUGAUGGAGGGGGAUAACUACUGGAAACGGUAGCUAAUACCGCAUACCAUCAGAUGUGCCCAGAUGGGAUUAGCUAGUAGGGGGGGUAACGGCUCACCUAGGCGACGAUCCCUAGCUGGUCUGAGAGGAUGACCAGCGACACUGGGAAUGAGACACGGUCCAGAAUCGGACGGGAGGCAGCAGUGGGGAAUAUUGCACAAGGGGCGGAAGCCUGAUGCAGCCAUGCCGCGUGUAUGAAGAAGGCCUUCGGGGUGUAAAGUACUUUCAGCGGGGAGGCGUUACCCGCAGAAGAAGCACCGGCUAACUCCGUGCCAGCAGCCGCGGUAAUAC